CCUCCCUAAUGCCCAGGUUAAAGGCUUGAGCCACCACACCAGCUCAAGGAGGAGUUUAUGCCUAACAGAUUGGCCACCAUUCGGCAGAUCUGUGAUGAACCAAGCCCCUGGGAGAGGGUAAUUUGGGGGAACAAAUAGUCAGGAAACAACACCCUGUGUCUGAAAUAAAACAAGAGGCCAUAAAUGAGGAGGCACACUGACCUGCUUCAGAAGAACUUGCCUUUAGGGUCAGACAAUGCAACAAUGAGAACAAUAUCCAUCAGCAUCUAGCCCAUCCCAGACACCAAGCAGCAUCACUGCCCCUGGAACAACACCAUUUUUCAUGAACGUCCACGACACCUCACUAAUUGUGGUGGUAGCCCUCAGAAUAUCGUCUCCCUCGAUGGAACAUACAUAGAAAAUAAGUUUGGUGAAGGAUUGAUUACGAGUACUCUCCACAGCCAUGGCAACGCCAUCACCUUUCGACCCACUACACCAGGGAAACGUCAUGACUGAGGGAAGCCGCUCACUUCACAGCAAUCCCAGUUCUCAAAGUUUCCAACACCUCCCAGAAUAGCGACACCAGCCGGGGACCAAGAUUUCAACAGGAGCCCAUGGGGAACAUUUGGCAUUGGAGCAACGCCUUCCCCCCUUCCGGUUUUGUAGCUCGGGAUUAUCUCCACUACUCAAACUUGGGUCAUCUCAGGAUCUUUGUUCUCAUGUUUUUGUUUGAGUUUCUCUCUGGGGCUCCACUGCCAGCAAGCCUGUCUACCCAGUCCUGAGGGUUUUGGCCAUUUACUGAUACUUUAUUCCUCUGUUUACAGUGUCUCAAAGUUCCGUUCCUUUGGGUCCCGCUCUGUCUCCCAUUCGGGCCCCCGAGGCGGACUGCUUUCCCGCGGUGUAGGUUUGAUGGAAAAAGCCAGCUGCAGCUGUUACCUGGGACUGCUCCCCUUCUGCCUCUCAGCCACACAGUUCUCUGCCCCUUCUCUGACAUGAAGGAAUUUUCGCUGCCGCUCUGGAAGCUUUCAGUGGAGGGAGGAGCAGACUGAAUCCCAUUCUGUCUUAUGUCGCUGCUGACUACCAGGCUUAAGAGAUGGCUUUUCUUUUUUUCCUGCUUGAUUUUCAGUCCCACACCGUGAAGACGACGUUAGGAGCAGCUGAGCACGAGCGAACCCCAAAGUUCUCUUGCUCUUGUUUUACAACUCACGCCUGCCUACCUCCCGGGCUUCUGCCAGCUUCUAAAUUCCAUGCUUCCAAAUAAGACAGUAACAUAUUCGACUCUGUGGAUUGUUAACAGAUUCUUGGACCAGCGCACACGUCACCCCCAAUGUGCCUGACUGGAUAACAAUGUAAAGUACAAUGGGGUAACAUAUGCAAUGCAUUGUCUUUCUUUUUCAAAAACUCAUUUUAUAAAACUCCUUAAUUGAAUCAGGCUUGAACUUCCUGUGGCAUGAGACCAAAUAGAAUUACAUUGAUGCUAAAAAUGUAAAUGCAUCCCAGAUACCACGGUUGAUGUAUAGUUGGGGAUACUGAAGCCUGAAGGCUUGUGUGAGCACUAAGAUGAGAAGGGAGAAUCUUAGGAUUCAGGUACCUGACAUAUAAACAUUUAUGGAAU